CUAAAACUAAUUAGAAUGUUAGCCCAAGGAGGCAAAAAACUAGUUUAUGUGCAACUCUCUUAGUCUUGUAUAUGUGCUUUGGUAUCCUUCAAUAACUGACCCCAUUGUGUUAGAUUUGAUCAUUAGAUAUCUUAAGCAAUACUCAUUAUCAAUUCAUCUUCCUAUCAGUUACACUCCAAAUCGUUCUCUCAUUUUGAAUAUGUACUAUGUGUCAAUGCAUUGCUAAGAUUCAAGAUACCAAAACUCGCUUCAAUAUGGCGGCACCUAACAGAGUUGAAUAAUUCCAAGUUACAAUCAUUUUUCUUGAAAUUUAAAGAACGGGAAGGUAACUCAUGAGGAUUUCCAGUUGAUACAUACAACUUUUAGCGGUUAUGUGGAUCAUUUGUUAGCUACUUUGAUGGGAUUAUUUCUGUUAGUACAUGCAUCAACUGUUUCUAAAUUGUGCAUGGUUACAAAUACUCUCAGUUGUGCAAGGAUGAAUAAUUCUUUUGACCGACUGGUUCUCCUGUAUUAUCACAUUUGUCAAAGGUCAAGCUUCCUCUUAGGUUUGUAUAUGCGCAUGGACAAAAGUCAUGGUCUUGACUAUGGAAGCUUGGUUCCACGCCACCAUGCCCAGAGUAGCUUCAAGAUAUUUUAAGUACCAUUAUGGCAGCGAUUAACAGAGUUCCAUGCCAUCACGGUCACAAAUACUCUCAGUUGAGGAUUUUUCUAAAUUGGUCGGUUUAGUUGAUUUCUUUAAGUUUAAAGAACAGGACGGUGUUGGUUCUGUUACUUCUGUAGAUGUAGUCCCGCGAUCAUGUGAUUAUUUAGUUGUGAUCUGUUACUUU